AUUGUGAUGUUAGCUUAGGUUAGUCGAGUUGGUCAUUAGCGAUAUUAUAAUGUUUCCUUGAGAUUUCUGGACUGUAAUUGUGUUUGCCACUCUGACUUGGUUAAUGUGAAAUCUGUAUUUGCACUUGCAAUUGGGUAUACGCUUAGUUGCCCGAUUGGUGAUUGCAUCUUCGCUUAGUUGAUGAAACUGCAUGGUGUAAAUUGGAUUUGAUGUUAACAUUGUGUUCGCUUAGUUCGCUUUUAUGAAAACAUGAUUAGCCUUCGCUUAGUUGGUUAACUGUGUUGGAUUAGAGGUUUGAGUCGCCGCUUUAUUUUGUUUAUCUAUGAUGGAAGCAUUGUGAUUAAGUUAAUGACCAACCGUUUUCACAUUCCGUUUUUACAUUUCUGUUUACCUUUCUGUUGCAUCUGUGUUUACAUUGUUGUUUGCAUUCGUGUUUUGAUUUUGUUUAUCCGCAUUCACAAACUUUUCACAAACCCCCCA
rnacentral:lncRNA from 1 species